rnacentral:lncRNA from 1 species
AGUCCUUGACGUCCAGCAGUAUAAACACCAGGAAUUACCCCCGCUCCAGGUCCAUAGCUGCCUGUUCCUGUGCCAGCACCACCAGGUCCAAAACCACCUGGCCUAGUUCCGACACCACCCAGUCCUGUCCCGGCAGUGUUGGGCCCAUAUCCACCUGGUGCAGUGCCACCAGGUCCAUAUCCACCAGUACCAGGACCAACUCCUCCAAGUCCAGUCCCGUACCCACCAGGAACAACCCCAGCACCACCAGCUCCUGCCCCAUAACCUAAAAACAAAUAAUGGUUUAAAGGCUCCUGUUCCUACUCCACCAGCCCCAGGUACCAAGCCUGCUCCUCCUCCAGGUCCUCCUCCAACUCCUCCAGUACCUCCUCCAACUCCUCCAGGACCUCCUCCAACUCCUCCUGCCACCCCGCCUACUCCACCAGGUCAAAAAAAUAAACUUUUUUCACAAUUAACACUAUGUUAGUCAUUCCUAGAGGCUAUAGUGGACGUUUCAUACUCAUCGGUGAAAGAUGUAAUAGUCAUAAUGGAGUGGCAAAAAUGGCACCUUUUGGCGGUUUUGGUGUUCCUCCAACUCCACCAGCUGCACCUCCUGGUCCAACUCCAGUUCCAGUAGCAGGACCGUCUCCUCCUCCCACUCCUGUUACGCCACCUGAAACACCUCCUGCUGCUCCUGCACUGGUAGGAAUCCCUCCUACUCCACCCGGUUCUCCACCUGUGCCUCCUGUACCACCUCUUUCUCCAUCAGGACCUCCCUCUCCAUCUCCUUCACCUGGCGUGUCACCUCUGGGGACACCUGCAGACAGAGCACAGAACACCAGACCUGUAUUUCAGCUAGAAUCAAAACCACCAUUACAGAAAAGAAGUCUGACAGGUUCUCCAGCAAGUUUAAACACACCUUCUCCUCCAGAACUUCCAGACCCCUCUAUCACACUGCCAGCACCGCUAUCACCUGGAAUAAGAAGCCUACCACUGGGUCCAGAUGUUGUCCCUGCACCACUGCUUGUGCUGGUGCCAUUCACUGAAACACCAGUGCCGGUCCCUGUACCAGAUCCUGCAGUGCCGGUCCCUGUACCAGAUCCUGCAGUGCCAGAUCCUGCAGUGCCAGU